rnacentral:rRNA from 1 species
AUACGGAGGGUGCGAGCGUUGUUCGGAAUCACUGGGCGUAAAGGGCGCGCAGGCGGUCUGUCAAGUCAGAUGUGAAAGCCCACGGCUCAACCGUGGACGUGCAUCUGAAACUGGCAGACUCGAGUACCGGAGGGGAAAGUGGAAUUCCCGGUGUAGAGGUGAAAUUCGUAGAUAUCGGGAGGAAUACCGGAGGCGAAGGCGACUUUCUGGACGGAUACUGACGCUGAGGCGCGAAAGCGUGGGGAGCGAACAGGAUUAGAAACCCUUGUAGUCC